UCAUGGAUAGAAGGAAAUGGUCACUGGUGUUUUCCUUGUAAUGCUGUUUUUAAUAAUUUUCAUGUAACAUUAGAAACUCAGGGCUGGAAGGCUCAACUUAUGUUUUUCAGCAGGGUCUCUACUUUUAUUGUUUAGCAUUCUUACUUAGGACAAUAAGUGUUAACCUACCUCUCCUUACUAUCAACAGAAUCCAAUUUUAUGAUAGAUUUUGCUUUGUCUCUGAAGUUUAACAUUUUGAGUGUAGAAAACAGAUCAUCAUUCUUUAGGUGUUCAUUCUUUAUUCAUUGUCCAAUAAUGCACAAAUUUUGUAGACUGUAGCAGUCAUUAAAUACAGAAAAAUAUUGUAUAAAAUUUGGUAAUUAUAUAUGAAAGUAGCUGGCAUAGACACUAACUUUGCAUGUGAUCAGAAGAAUGUCUGGUCAUAAUUGCCCAGUAACUUGGUAUGGUUACUGGAUCUAUUCCACAAAUAGAGGUGGUAUAAGACAUGUUAAUGUGGUUCCUGUGUAAAGAGAAAAUUUGACUUGAAUAGACGCUUCUGAUACCUCUUACCAGUUGGCCUCAAGUAGAAUGAGGAGGAGUAAGAAAUGAAUCUUAACAGUUAACUUAUCCUCAGAGUUGGUGAUGUGUAAGUUGAGUUGAAGGUAGUUGUCUAUGUGACCCAGAAUCUUCCAGCUGGAUUUUUCUUAGGACAAAAUGGAAAAUGCGUAGGGCCUGGAAAGGUUGGAUUAAGUGACUAACUUAAAAAAAAAGAACUGGGGGGAAGUGUCAAAGCAUUGAUCAUGAGUAGUCUGAUUGUCUAAACUGCAAUCUAAUUGUCUGUUCACAGAGACCCUACGUUGUAAAUAUUGGCAAAGGGAGAAAAAUAACUGUUAAAUUGGAAGUUAUCCUUUAGCAGAAAUCAGUUCCUUUGGCAUGCAUUUUAUUUAUUUGGCCUGCUUAAUAUGUCUGUAAAUAACUGAAUAUAAAACAAAUUCAGUGCAGCAGAGCUGGUGCUUCUGACACAGCUAACUUGACCAUAUUCCUUUAUCUUCACUUUAGCAUGAGUGUUUUUAACUAUAAAGUAAGUGCAAUGGUUAGAAGGAACCAGCCAACAAAAUUAUGAUCUAGCAAAUUUAACAAGGAGGUGAGGGAGAGGAAGCUAUUUUACAGUCGAUUUGCACUUUAAAAUGAACUGGAUGUUGGUGAAAAGUACUCUCAAAGGGCAGAUGGGUAAAUACCCAGCCUGCAUGUGGAUA
rnacentral:lncRNA from 1 species